GUCUCUUGAACAAAGCAUAUCUUUAUUCUCUUAAACAUCAGGUUCUUCAGGUACAUAAACAGUCACAAGCACAAACACUUUCAGUCUUUUUUUUCUUUUUUUUGGACACAGUCAACAUAUUAAGUGAGCCAAACACAUUAUAUCACCUAAUGUGGGAUUUUUCACUUUCCGACUUGUGCUGACAGUCAUGUUUGUUUCUCAUGUAGCUGAGGAAAGAAGAGACUGACCCUUAAUUCUGUCACUUCCUGGUUUGUGUUGAGGGCUUGAAAAUGAAGGACAACUCACUGAUGAACACUCAAACCUCAGUGAACAAUACAGGGUGACCUCAUCUCAAAUCAUCACCUUUUUUUCAGCUCAGCUGUCUCUGAUUUGCAUCGAACUUUAAUAGAACAAAAGAUUGAUAUUUAUAAGUGUGUGAAACUUUAGCUUGAAAUAUCAAACCUGCUUUCAGCGUGUUUUUGUGGUACUAUUUAUUUAUUUAUUUAUUUGGAUGAGACAGUGUAUAUUAAUGAACAUAAUUGUUCAGAAUAGUUUACACAAGGUUGCAGUAAAUAUGCUGGAUUUAGCACAAGGCUAAUUUCCAUCUAUUGUCCCACACGUAAUUUCUCAUCCCUACUUAAUCAGUUAUGAAAGUUCAAUGAAAAUAACUUUGAUUUUUGUGAUUAUACAUUUUUAAAAAAAAUCUGUAUGUUUUGUAUUAUUGUGACAUGCAGCUACAUGUGGUUCAGAAUUUUUUUUUUUUUUUCAGUUUAUGAUAAAAAAAAUUUAGACAAAUCAGAGAUAGUGGAGCAGAAAAUUCUCUAUGAUUUGGAAUGGAAUAGCCCUGAAGUGUACUGUAGCUGCCUCACUCAGUGCGACGUACACAUCAGUGCUUUGUCCUUCAUCCACAGUCCUACGUUUUGUGUCAGACACAUAAGGACAGCUCUACAUGGCUUUUGUUGCCAGUGUUGGCAAUGAUAUAUGCAUCUAGUUGUCCUCCUCCACCGUGACAGAACAAAGCAGCUGAUUCACUAGUUACUCUAUGUAAAUAAAUAUAUGUAUGUAUAUAUAUAUAUAUAU
ensembl:lncRNA